rnacentral:rRNA from 1 species
GAUGAACGCUGGCGGCGUGCCUAAUACAUGCAAGUCGAGCGAACGGACGAGAAGCUUGCUUCUCUGAUGUUAGCGGCGGACGGGUGAGUAACACGUGGAUAACCUACCUAUAAGACUGGGAUAACUUCGGGAAACCGGAGCUAAUACCGGAUAAUAUUUUGAACCGCAUGGUUCAAAAGUGAAAGACGGUCUUGCUGUCACUUAUAGAUGGAUCCGCGCUGCAUUAGCUAGUUGGUAAGGUAACGGCUUACCAAGGCAACGAUGCAUAGCCGACCUGAGAGGGUGAUCGGCCACACUGGAACUGAGCCGCGGUCCAGACUCCUACGGGAGGCAGCAGUAGGGAAUCUUCCGCAAUGGGCGAAAGCCUGACGGAGCAACGCCGCGUGAGUGAUGAAGGUCUUCGGAUCGUAAAACUCUGUUAUUAGGGAAGAACAUAUGUGUAAGUAACUGUGCACAUCUUGACGGUACCUAAUCAGAAAGCCACGGCUAACUACGUG